ensembl:lncRNA
AAGACAUUUUCAUUCUUCCACUGGCUAUACAUUUUGCAUAUUCAUUAGUUUGUAGCCAAAAAGUGUAAAAACAACAGCUCUCUGUUUGAUUCACAGUCAGCUCAGCUCUUCACUGUAAUCCAGAUCUGAUAACAACUCUCUGAACAGCUCUCCGGACUGGACAGCAAACUGUAAUUUUCUGGUUUACAAACUGAAUCAACUUCUGUGUGGGAAAAAACAUCAGACAAAAGGACAGAGAGUGAUAGUGUGGUUGUCUUUGGAAGUACAGGUGUUCAUGUUCUCAGUGAUUUCUGCCUUUGUGCAGAGACACACAUUCAUCAUGUCGCUCUCUGUGACAUUGUUGGUGCUGCUGAUGGUUUGCGGCACUCAGGCUUCACAUUUUUUAGGCACAGUCAUGACCUACUACCCAAAGGACACUUUUGCAGAUGGAUCUGUCACAGUGACCCUUCGGUAUAAGCUGAACUUCCAUCAAUGCACAGAGUUUGACACUUGGAGUUGCCUCAGUGGUGACUGUGGGACUGGAACCCACACACUAUAUGUGGUAAAACAGGAGAGCAGUGGAGACUGGUGUCAGAGAGAGGGAAUCAUGACUCGACAGGUUUCCAGCAACACUCCGUUUGAGCUUUGGUUGAAUAGUAAUGCAUGGAUAUCUAACGUCAAUGGCAUUUCAUCAUGGAGAGCUGUGACUCGGGUGGAACUGAGGAACCGCUCCGACACCGGCAAAGCCAACACAUCACCCCAGACCACCAUCCUACCAGUUGUGAGAGUUCCUUCAAACUGUCAGAGAGAUUUCAACCUGUUGAUGUUUGACCCUGAUGGAGACAAAGUUAAAUGCAGAUAUGGAAACUCCUCACUCUCAGAGUGUAACCCCUGCACUCCACCGUCUGUCCUCAGCCUUUCAUCGUCCUCUUGUACUCUGUCAUUCAGCCCCACCAGCAGCAGUAAUGAAGGUUCGUAUGUAGUACAGCUGGUGAUGGAGGACUUCCCCAGACAGACCAUCACUCUGACUCAAACCAACAGGACACAAACAACAAUAACUACCAACGAUGCCAUCAGCAAAAUACCGAUUCAAUUUGCUUUGAAAGUUGAUCCUGCAGUGCCAUCCUGCACAGAAGGACUCUUUCUGCCCAAGUUUCUUCCUCCAACACCAGCCAACGGAGCUCAGCUCUACAACAAUGUCAGUCAGACUCUGGAAAUUAACAUCACUGCACAGGCACUUAACUCCACGAUCUCUGAGCUGCUCUACAGCGGGCCGUACAAUUUAACCAGCAGUACAUCAGGACCAGGACAGUUCACCCUGAGAUGGACACCAUCUGAGAGAGAAGACGGACAAAGCCUCCCCAUCUGUUUUGUUGUCCAGGCAGUUUUCAAAUGUUACAGUUCUUAAAUUGAAGAUGACCUCUUUGGUGGACUUGUCUAAAAUUGAUAGAGAUACCUUCCUUUCACAGAUCAAAAAUUUGCUGAUAUCCAAAGGGCUGCCCCAACACAUGAUCGUCCGACUAAUAAGCAGCAAUGCACAGAUUGGUCCAACUGCAGCACCCUCUACUGGCAAAACAUGAACUGGCAGCUUAAGGAGCUUCUUCAUGGCAGCUGUUGAAUGCAGUUCAGUCUUCACUGUUCUUUAACACACAUUUUUAAUAAUUACAAUCACUUCUCAAGAGCAGCUUUUAAAAGCAACAUGUUACCCUGACUCUCCAGUGCUACACAGCAAAUCCAGCAUGUCAAAAUUAACACUGUCAGAUUUGAUUUCAACACUAUUAAAUUGUCUAUAUGGGUCCACACCAGAGAGUGUUAAUUUAACUCUUUUUGGAGAGUUGGUAAGUUAACUCUGAUUUAGUGUUAAACACCAAAUCUAUCUGGAGUUGAUAAUUUAACACUUACUAAUGCUAACUAGGUGUUAAGAGUUUAUAUAUUAACUCUCAAAGAGUAUUUUAGUUUAACUACAUAAGAGUUAUCUUCUAAUUAAUUCUAAAAAGUGGAAAUUCUACUGUUCUGAACUUCUAGAAAUUCCUUUGGAAAUAAACAUUAAAAAGAUGCAAUGGUUUUUGAAAAACAUUUAUUCUGAA